rnacentral:rRNA from 1 species
UACGGAGGGCGCUAGCGUUAUUCGGAAUUACUGGGCGUAAAGCGUACGUAGGCGGCUCUGUAAGUUAGAGGUGAAAGCCUGGAGCUCAACUCCAGAAUUGCCUUUAAGACUGCAUCGCUUGAAUCCAGGAGAGGUGAGUGGAAUUCCGAGUGUAGAGGUGAAAUUCGUAGAUAUUCGGAAGAACACCAGUGGCGAAGGCGGCUCACUGGACUGGUAUUGACGCUGAGGUGCGAAAGCGUGGGGAGCAAACAGG